AAUGAACCCUGGCGGCAUGCCUUACACAUGCAAGUCGAACGGCAGCACGGGUGCUUGCACCUGGUGGCGAGUGGCGAACGGGUGAGUAAUAUAUCGGAACGUACCUUGUAGUGGGGGAUAGCUCGGCGAAAGCCGGAUUAAUACCGCAUACGCUCUGAGGAGGAAAGCGGGGGACCUUCGGGCCUCGCGCUCAAGAGCGGCCGAUAUCAGAUUAGCUAGUUGGUGGGGUAAAAGCUUACCAAGGCGACGAUCUGUAGCUGGUCUGAGAGGACGACCAGCCACACUGGGACUGAGACACGGCCCAGACUCCUACGGGAGGCAGCAGUGGGGAAUUUUGGACAAUGGGCGAAAGCCUGAUCCAGCAAUGCCGCGUGUGUGAAGAAGCCUUCGGGUUGUAAAGCACUUUUGUCCGGAAAGAAAUCCUCUGGGUUAAUACCUCGGGGGGAUGACGGUACCGGAAGAAUAAGCACCGGCUAACUACGUGCCAGCAGCCGCGGUAAUACGUAGGGUGCAAGCGUUAAUCGGAAUUACUGGGCGUAAAGCGUGCGCAGGCGGUUUUGUAAGACGGAUGUGAAAUCCCCGGGCUCAACCUGGGAACUGCAUUCGUGACUGCAAGGCUAGAGUAUGGCAGAAGGGGGUAGAAUUCCACGUGUAGCAAUGAAAUGCGUA
rnacentral:rRNA from 1 species